rnacentral:rRNA from 1 species
UACGUAGGGUGCGAGCGUUAAUCGGAAUACUGGGCGUAAAGCGUGCGCAGGCGGUUAUGUAAGACAGUUGUGAAAGCCCCGGGCUCAACCUGGGAAUGGCAAUGGAUACUGGCAAGCUAGAGUGCGGUAGAGGGUAGUGGAAUUCCCGGUGUAGCGGUGAAAUGCGUAGAGAUCGGGAGGAACACCAGUGGCGAAGGCGGCUACCUGGACCAGCACUGACACUGAGGCACGAAAGCGUGGGAGCA